rnacentral:rRNA from 1 species
CAGCCGCCGCGGUAACACGGAGGGGGCUAGCGUUGUUCGGAAUUACUGGGCGUAAAGCGCACGUAGGCGGCUGUGUAAGUCAGAGGUGAAAGCCCGGGGCUCAACCCCGGAAUAGCCUUUGAGACUGCAUAGCUUGAACACGGGAGAGGUGAGUGGAAUUCCGAGUGUAGAGGUGAAAUUCGUAGAUAUUCGGAAGAACACCAGUGGCGAAGGCGGCUCACUGGACCGUUGUUGACGCCGAGGUGCGAAAGCGUGGGGAGCAAACAGGAUUAGAUACCCCAGUAGUCCCUGUCUCUUAUAC